rnacentral:rRNA from 1 species
GAUGAACGCUGGCGGCGUGCUUAACACAUGCAAGUCGAACGGAAAGGCCCCUGCUUGCUGGGGUACUCGAGUGGCGAACGGGUGAGUAACACGUGGGUGAUCUGCCCUGCACUUCGGGAUAAGCCUGGGAAACUGGGGCUAAUACCGGAUAGGACCAUGGUUUGGAUGCCAUGGGGGGGAGUUUUUCGGCGUGGGAUGAGCUCGCGGCUUAUCAGCUUGUUGGUGGGGUAGUGGCGUACCAAGGCGUCGACGGGUAGCCGGCCUGAGAGGGUGGACGGCCACAUUGGGACUGAGAUACGGCCCAGACUCCUACGGGAGGCAGCAGUGGGGAAUAUUGCACAAUGGGCGGAAGCCUGAUGCAGCGACGCCGCGUGGGGGAUGACGGCCUUCGGGUUGUAAACUCCUUUCGCUUGGGACGAAGCGCAAGUGACGGUACCUGGUGAAGAAGCACCGGCUAACUACGUG